AAAAUUCCACAGACUGGGUGGCUUAAGCAACAGACAUUUCCUUUUUCACUGUUGUGAAAGUUUUACGUCCAAGAUCAAAUUGUUGUCACGGUCGGUUGCUGGUAAGACCUCUCUUCCUGUAGAAGGCUGCCUUCUUUCUGUGUCCUCACAUCAAUCGGUGUAAAAAUAUAAAGCAUUGACACUUAAAGUGGAGUUCAAAGGAAAGUCAUCCUGGGAUGGGGUGAGAAUGUUGGAGCCGCUGGACAAGAGGAUGCUACUUGGCACUUUCUCUCAAAAGAUCACAGAGAAGCAGGCAGAGAAGAGAAGAGGAAGCAGGCUCCCUGCUGAGCAGAGAGCCCGAUGCGGGACUCGAUCCCAGGACUCUGGGAUCAUGACCUGAGCCGAAGGCAGAGGCUUUAACCCACUGAGCCACCCAGGCACCCCGGCUUAUUUCAUUUAGCAUAAUGCCCUCAAGAUCCAUCCAUGUUGUCACAAAUGGCAGGAUUUUCUUGUGUUUUGACUGAAUUUUAUAUAUUUUUUCUCUUUAUCCAUUCAGCCAUAAUGGAUAAAGAGAAAAAAUUCAACAUCGACUUAGGUUGUUUCCAUAUCUUGACUAUUGUAAAUAAUGUUACAAUGAUCAUAGGGGUGCACAUAUAUUUCAACUUAGUGUUUCAUUUCCUUCAAAUAAAUACCCAAAA